rnacentral:lncRNA from 1 species
GUCUUCAACUGACCAAUAUUUGAAGAACAAUGUGCUUAUUCUGCUCCAUUUGGAGGAGGCCAAUCUCUUGAGAAGCAAAUCAUACAUACAUAAAACCAUGAAUUUUAGAGGCAAAUUUAAUAACAGGAACUACCUCUGUCUUGUUCACCAGUAUGUGUAUGGGAAAACACACCCUACACUGAACAGGAGAUAUAUCUUAUUUUCUUUUGAAUAUUGCUUAUGGUACUGUAGGAAAGCAGAGGAAUUGAGAAAUAGAAAUUAGUUCAAAGUAAAGGGGAAAAAAAUCACUAUCCAAGUUGGAGUUCAGCAAAAAGUUACUUAUGACAAUUAACUAAAAAUCCAUAUUUUGCCAAUAACCAACAGGCAAAUAAAAAACCAACAUUCAAUGUUCAAUUCAAAAUAGCCAGUGAGGGAGAGGCACCAAUUAGAAGCAGCUGCAGUCCAUGGCACUCAUGGAGAGGAGUGAAAGGGGUGAGUGAAUACAGUUCUCCCACAGAUCUUUGCAACCCACGGAUCAGGAGAUCCCCUCGUGAGCCCAUGCUACCAGGGCCUUGAGUCUGACACACAGAGCUGUGUGGAGUCUUGGCCCCUGUCCAGCCUGGCCCUGCCUUCCCUGGUCUGGAGCACAUCCAAUUCUCUCUCUCCCCAGGACUUUGAUCACUUCAUUUUGCCCAAAUUCUCCUCUGAUCCCUAUGGUUGUUCUUUAUUCCCCAAGGGGUAUUUCUAGCCCAGUACCCCCGCUGAGCUCCAGACUCACACUACACAACGAAUUGGCCCUUAACUGGGCACUCUGCGAGCCUCUCCAUCUCACCCUGUCUAAAAUCUCCUCACUAACCUGGUGAUCUCUCUGGCCUUCGCUGUUCAUGGCCACCACCUCACCUGAAGCAAGGCUGGUGAUCAUCCACUCCUCCCUCCCCUUCUUCAGGCUAACCUCAGGUCUUCUCUGCUCCACUGCCAUUUUCCCAGGCCAAUCCUCUUGCCUAUUCACCCACAUCAGCGUCCAGGCUGUUCCUCAACACACCAGGCAUGUUCCCGACCUAGGGGCUUUGCAGCACCUGUUCCUACUGCCUAAAAUGUUUCCCCUAGAAAUCUGCAUGGCUACCACCCCCAACUUUACUCAGCUUUUCACUCAAAUGUUGCCUUCCACAUGAGGUCUCUGUGACCCAUGCCCACACUGCCUCCGCCCUAGCACUCCCAAUCCUUGGCCUACAGGAUUCAUCAUCUUCUAAAAGAAUAUAUAACUUGCUGGCCUGUUGGCUUAUUUACUCAGUAUUACUGUCUUCAGUCAUGAAUGUACUCCCCACCAGGGCUUACCUUGUUCCCCAACAGGUCCCAAACACUGAGGGCCAGUGCCUGGCAAAGAGAAGCUGCUCUUUACUUUCCUGCUGAGUGUGUUGAUCUACAGGAGAUGAACAGGCUUCCUCUGGUAUUCCAAUGACCAGCUCUGUCCCAACCAACACAUCCCCUGCACUUCCCACAAAAAGCACAGUGACAUUUCAAUAGGACUAUAUUUGAAAUAGUUUAUGAAUGAAAAGAAAGAACUAUUAAAGGGAAAAUGAUGCAGCACCACAGAUGUGAGUAGAUCGUCCAGCUGCUUUUCCUACAGAAUAAAUACUAGAUUCUCUCGGGAACGCUCACAGUGCUCUGUCACCUGGAUGCAGUCCCAUCUCCUCUCCCUUGCCCCAGCCUUGCCCAGCCCACACUGCACUGUAUAUCCAGUCCACCAAACUUCUCUUCCUUCUCGGAGGGUAUGGGUAUUCUCGCUUCUAUGCUGGCUCGUGGUUUUGUUAGUUUCAUUGCUGCCUUAGUCAUGUGGGGGAAUUCCUGACCAAUUCAUCCUUCUUUUUAAUCCCUCAAUCCUGAAUUAGGUAACUUUUCCUCUAUCACUUUCAACAUUACAUUAUCAGCUGCAAUAGAAGACCCUACACUUCUGACUUGUGGACUCCUGAGAGCAAGGUCUGUGAUUAUUCCACAUGUGUAUGGACAACACCUCUGCAGAGGGCCUGGCAGCUGCUAGAUGCUCAAUAAACCUCUGCCGAAGGCAGCUGCUAAAAGAAAAAAGAAAAUCUUACUACGGAAAGUAAAAGAUGAUCCUCAGGCAAGAAACAAAAAAGUGCGACGGAAGCUCUGUUUCUAUCUCUUCAGGGCCGUGCUUCAUUAUUAUUUCCUCAUUCUCCAAUUCCUCACAAAGCUCUAUUUUAUAAAUGUUUGCAGAGCUUUAAGUUAAUCCUAACAUUUACUCUCCAGCCCUCAAUCUUUAAUGACUCCUUCUCUAAAAAAAAAAAAGGCAGAAAAAGUAAAGAUUUAUAUAAGUUCAAAAGAAACUUAAAAAUCCAGACAAAGACUUAUCAUCAGCCACGUAUGGAAUGUGAGUGGAUUCUUGCCUAAAAAGCUAGCUCUAGCUGCAAAUUUCCUAUAUUCUCCCAGUGCCACGGGACGGUGAUGAGAGGUCUCCCACUCCAUGGGGCUCUGCCCACCUCUGCUCACCCACUCCACACCUCCCACCACACUUUUCUAGUGCUUGAAGGAAGUGAAGACAGUAGCCUUUAACAUGUUCCAUUACAGCAACUGCUUUGGUGUAGUGACUUACAAGGAAGCCUGCAAAGGAG